rfam:Populus trichocarpa isolate Nisqually-1 chromosome 1, whole genome shotgun sequence.
UAAUCUGUUUGGUGCAAAUCCUUAUCUAGUUGUAGCAGACUCAUACUUGACUGCUCAUAAUCACUUUUUAUCACUAGCUCAACUACAUCAUUUUUCUCGGGUUAGAGAGAACUCGUUCUCGAGUUCUAUUCCUCCUCCAAAUAGGAA